rnacentral:rRNA from 1 species
UACCUCAGUAACGGCGAGUGAAGCGGUAACAGCUCAAAUUUGAAAGCUGCCAACAGGCCGCAUUGUAAUUUGUAGAAGAUGCUUUGGGUGUUGACCUAGUCUAAGUUCCUUGGAACAGGACGUCAUAGAGGGUGAGAAUCCCGUAUGUGAUUAGUGUCAGCCCCCGUGUAAAGCUCUUUCGACGAGUCGAGUUGUUUGGGAAUGCAGCUCAAAAUGGGUGGUAAAUUUCAUCUAAAGCUAAAUAUUGGCCAGAGACCGAUAGCGCACAAGUAGAGUGAUCGAAAGAUGAAAAGCACUUUGGAAAGAGAGUUAAACAGUACGUGAAAUUGUUGAAAGGGAAGCGCUUGCAAUCAGACUUGCAGGUAGUCGAUCAUCCGAGGUUCUCCUCGGUGCACUCGAUUGUCUUCAGGCCAGCAUCGGUUUCGGUGGUGGGAUAAAGGCUGUGGGAAUGUGGCUCUUCGGAGUGUUAUAGCCCACGGUGCAAUGCCGCCUACCGGGACCGAGGACCGCGCUUCGGCUAGGAUGCUGGCGUAAUGGUUGUAAGCGACCCGUCUUGAAACACGGACCAAGGAGUCUAACAUCUAUGCGAGUGUUUGGGUGUCAAACCCAUACGCGUAAUGAAAGUGAACGGAGGUGAGAACCCUUUAGGGUGCAUCAUCGACCGAUCCUGAUGUCUUCGGAUGGAUUUGAGUAAGAGCAUAGCUGUUGGGACCCGAAAGAUGGUGAACUAUGCGUGAAUAGGGUGAAGCCAGAGGAAACUCUGGUGGAGGCUCGCAGCGGUUCUGACGUGCAAAUCGAUCGUCAAAUUUGCGUAUAGGGGCGAAAGACUAAUCGAACCAUUGGAAAAUCUACUAGGUGGUUAAGAGAAAUCCGAAUCUAGUCCGCUGAAGAGCGGGCAACACUCUCAAAUUGCGGGGACGUCCUGUUAAUGUAUCACUACCGCAGCCAGCCUGAAAGGGUAGCGCGCACCGGCUCUAUAUGCUGGGAUGGUAACAAUGUGAUCACUAGGGAUAAUCCGCAGCCAACUCCUACGGGCAUCUACCGCCUAUGGACGCAGUUCACAGACUAAAUGUGAGUGGGCUCCCCAGAGCUUAAGUGAUAGUCGACCCCCCGUGAGAGCGGGUGGAAGCAGUGCUAGUAGCUGGUUCCUGCCGAAGUUUCCCUCAGGAUAGCAGUGUUGUUUUCAGUUUUAUGAGGUAAAGCGAAUGAUUAGAGGCCUUGGGGUUGAAACAACCUUAACCUAUUCUCAAACUUUAAAUAUGUAAGAAGUCCUUGUUGCUUAAUUGAACGUGGACAUUCGAAUGCACCAACACUAGUGGGCCAUUUUUGGUAAGCAGAACUGGCGAUGCGGGAUGAACCGAACGGGGAGUUAAGGUGCCGGAAUCUACGCUCAUCAGACACCACAAAAGGUGUUAGUUCAUCUAGACAGCAGGACGGUGGCCAUGGAAGUCGGAAUCCGCUAAGGAAUGUGUAACAACUCACCUGCCGAAUGAACUAGCCCUGAAAAUGGAUGGCGCUUAAGCGUAGUACCCAUACUCUCCCGCCCGAGUAGAAACGAUGCUCGGGCGAGUAGGCAGGCGUGGGG